rnacentral:lncRNA from 1 species
UUCCAAUAUAUGUAUUUUUUACGAUUCUUUAUUUCCCCCUUUUUUUUCCACUGGGGAGCAGCAAGGGGCCAAGGAGAGUGACAACCUGGACGGGCAGGGGAUGCUAAUGCCACACUGUCCUCUGAGCCCACUGCUGGAGCCCUGAGUGGGGAGCAUGGGGCAGAGGAGCCAGGAGACACAGCAGCUCUGCAGCCCCCUCCCUGUGAUCAAAGCCCCCGCUCUGUCCUGGAGUGUUUGGGGAAACCCGGGUGCCCCCGGUGUGGGCAUUUGGGAAGGCUCUGAGGACGCCCAGCUCCCUGGGGAACAGGGCCCUGGACCGAGACUCUGUGCUACUACCUCCACAUCCCUGGGUGUCCACAGAGCAGGGGACAUGCUGGGGGAGGCGGCCCAACUUGCGAAGCACCGCGGGGGGCUGCCUGGGGUAUCCGGCAACUAAGCCCAGUUGGUGACUUCCAGGGGAGUGGGGUGUGGAUGGUCCAGGCCAUCCGCCCACGGCCCAGCAGCCCAAGGCUUCCUGUCCAAAUGGAGGUGAGGACGAGGCGGAUGUCUGGCCACCCAUAGGCCUCGGGAAGCAGGGUCACAGGUUCUGCUGACCAGCGUCCUUCGUGGAGGACUAAGACUGGGGAGGGACGCUCCCAGGGCACGAGGGGGGCUCCUGAGAAACUCACAGUCGCGGGAGAAAACAUCAGAGCACUGGGACUGAAGAGACGGGGAGCAUCCACUUGUCUUGCUCGGGAGGUGGGGACACAGCCGACAGCUAUCCCUGAGGCAUCUCUGAGCACUGUUGGAGGGUCCAGGAAGCGCCCCCCCGACCCUGCACCCCCGAUCAAGACUUUGCCAUGUUGCCCACAGCCAGGGGAGUGGGGCCGCCAGGGAGGGCAGGCACAGGCAGUCCCCAAGGCCAUGAGGAUGAGGGCCAUGGCCGAGCUUCCAGCAGCUGCCCUGGUUCACCUGGUUCACUUGUGUCCAACAGGAACCCCCAGAGACUCUGCCUAGGAAGCUGGAGUGAGCCCGGCCUUCCCCUGUGGAUGAGAGGGUGGGCAGCUGCUGACCCCCAGCCCCGCCCCGGCUGCCUGUGCGCACAGGGCCUGCCCUGACUUUCCAGACUCUCUGACCAGUGGAGCCUGGUCCUUGAUGGCCAGAGCUGAGCAGGGCGGGGGGAAUGUUCCAGAAUGACAACAGGUGAGAAGCAUGCAGGAAGCCGAAGUCUCUCAGACCCCCCAGGCCGGCCUGGCUGGCAGAACUGGUUCCCAGCCCUUUACUCCCCCACCCCCCGCCCCCACAAGGACCUGAGCCCCAAUCCAGGGCCUGGUGUGGCAACAGCCCGAGGGCUGGACCCUGACCCGCCGUCCCACCGUCCUCGGACCAAAAAAGCGCAGGAGCCAGUGACCAGGCCAGGGAGCCUCUCUCUUUUUCUGUUUCCUUUUAAUGACCUCAUUUCAAAGAAGAGCCGUCUCCUGACAAGGGACGUUUCCCA